rnacentral:rRNA from 1 species
AACGAACGCUGGCAGCAGGCUUAACACAUGCAAGUCGAGCGCCUCGCAAGAGGAGCGGCAGACGGGUGAGUAACACGUGGGAAUCUACCCAUCUCUACGGAACAACUCCGGGAAACUGGAGCUAAUACCGUAUACGUCCUUCGGGAGAAAGAUUUAUCGGAGAUGGAUGAGCCCGCGUUGGAUUAGCUAGUUGGUGGGGUAAAGGCCUACCAAGGCGACGAUCCAUAGCUGGUCUGAGAGGAUGAUCAGCCACACUGGGACUGAGACACGGCCCAGACUCCUACGGGAGGCAGCAGUGGGGAAUAUUGGACAAUGGGCGCAAGCCUUAUCCAGCCAUGCCGCGUGAGUGAUGAAGGCCCUAGGGUUGUAAAGCUCUUUCACCGGUGAAGAUAAUGACGGUAACCGGAGAAGAAGCCCCGGCUAACUUCGUGCCAGCCGCCGCCGUAAGAC